UACAGAGGGGGCAAGCGUUGUUCGGAAUUACUGGGCGUAAAGGGCGCGUAGGCGGCCUGUUAAGUCGAACGUGAAAUCCCUGGGCUCAACCCAGGAACUGCGUCCGAUACUGGCAGGCUUGAAUUCGGGAGAGGGAUGUGGAAUUCCAGGUGUAGCGGUGAAAUGCGUAGAUAUCUGGAGGAACACCGGUGGCGAAGGCGGCAUCCUGGACCGGCAUUGACGCUGAGGCGCGAAAGCCAGGGGAGCAAACGGG
rnacentral:rRNA from 1 species